rnacentral:rRNA from 1 species
UACGAAGGGGGCUAGCGUUGUUCGGAAUUACUGGGCGUAAAGCGCACGUAGGCGGACAUUUAAGUCAGGGGUGAAAUCCCGGGGCUCAACCCCGGAACUGCCUUUGAUACUGGGUGUCUUGAGUGUGGAAGAGGUCAGUGGAAUUGCGAGUGUAGAGGUGAAAUUCGUAGAUAUUCGCAGGAACACCAGUGGCGAAGGCGGCUGACUGGUCCACAACUGACGCUGAGGUGCGAAAGCGUGGGGAGCAAACAGG